rnacentral:rRNA from 1 species
CCUACGGGGGGCUGCAGUGAGGAAUAUUGGUCAAUGGACGCAAGUCUGAACCAGCCAUGCCGCGUGCAGGAAGACGGCUCUAUGAGUUGUAAACUGCUUUUGUACGAGGGUAAACGCAGAUACGCGUAUCUGUCUGAAAGUAUCGUACGAAUAAGGAUCGGCUAACUCCGUGCCAGCAGCCGCGGUAAUACGGAGGAUUCAAGCGUUAUCCGGAUUUAUUGGGUUUAAAGGGUGCGUAGGCGGUCGGAUAAGUUAGAGGUGAAAUCCCGAGGAUCGACGGCGGAAUUGCCUCGGAUACGGGUCGGGUAGAGAGUAGUGGCGGUAGGGGGAAGGUAUGGUGUAGCGGUGAGAUGGUUAGAG